CCUACGGGGCGCUGCAGUGGGGAAUAUUGCACAAUGGGGGAAACCCUGAUGCAGCGACGCCGCGUGAAGGAAGAAGUAUUUCGGUAUGUAAAGCUCUAUCAGCAGGGAAGAAAAUGACGGUACCUGAGUAAGAAGCCCCGGCUAACUACGUGCCAGCAGCCGCGGUAAUACGUAGGGGGCAAGCGUUAUCCGGAUUUACUGGGUGUAAAGGGAGCGUAGACGGCAGUGCAAGUCUGGAGUGAAAGGCGGGGGCUCAACCCCCGGACUGCUCUGGAAACUGUACGGCUGGAGUGCAGGAGAGGUAAGUGGAAUGCCUAGUGUAGCGGUGAAAUGCGUAGAUAUUAGGAGGAACACCAGUGGCGAAGGCGGCUUACUGGACUGUAACUGACGUUGAGGCUCGAAAGCGUGGGGAGCAAACAGGAUUAGAUACCCCUGUAGUC
rnacentral:rRNA from 1 species